rnacentral:ncRNA from 2 species
UAAAAAAGCAGGGAAGAGACCCUCUAAAAAGGGCACCGAAGGUGCAAACCCAAAAUAUAACUUCAGGGUGAAACUCUCAGGUAAAAGGACCUUGCACUUACA